AUGAUUCUUGAGUCUGAUUCCCAAGUGCUUGUCCAUGCACUCAAUUCUGGUGAAUAUGAACGAGCGCUGAUCGGUGUCCUCCUACAGGAGACGCGAAGUAUCUGCCAUGCGAACUUUGAAUCAUUUAGUUUCAGUUUCUGUAACCGAAAUUGUAAUAAGGCAGCACAUGAGUUAGCUGUUUUUGGUUUCAGAUCGGGAGCUGCUGAUCUGUCGUGGAUCGAGUAUGCCCCAGACUUUGUUUCUGUUCUGGUUGCCAGCGAUAUUGCUGAGCCAGUUUAG
rnacentral:rRNA from 1 species